AUACUUUUUCGGGCCUUUUGGCUAAGAUCAAGUGUAGUAUCUGAUCUUAUCAAUUUAAUAUCUGAUAUAUGGACUACUCACUACUGUUUUACACUAUACUCUAUUUUUAAGUUAGAAAAUAUCAGUAAAAGAGCUAAUCUGAGUUUUUGCGAGUGGUCCAUGCGUUGCGUUACAUUAUUGCACAGACAUGGCUCAUUAGUC